GGAAUAUUGGUCAAUGGCCUAACGGCUGAACUGGCAACUUGGAGAAGUGGCAAGUCUUCCAGUAUGGGGAGCAAAACAGCUAUGGGUCAAGUCCGAUAUCUUUAGGAGAAGUCUUAUUGUGAGGGCGAGUUAUAUAACACCAUAGGACUGGCCGUCCCAUAUGAAAAGAUUAUAUUAAAAUUGAAUGAAGCUUUGUUUAUAUAUUGAUAAUGACAGUAUAUAUAUCGUGUCUUGACUAAUUGCGUGCCAGCAGUCGCGGUAAUACGUAAGAGACUAGUGUUAUUCAUCUUAAUUAGGUUUAAAGGGUACCCAGACGGUCAAUAUAGCUUAUAAAAUGUUAGUACUUGACUAGAGUUUUAUGUAAGAGGGCAGUACUUGAGGAGGAGAGAUGAAAUUUCGUGAUACCAAAGGGACUCUGUAAAGGCGAAGGCAGCCCUCUAUGUAAAAACUGACGUUGAAGGACGAAGGCACAGAGAACAAACAGGAUUAGAUACCCAAGUAGUCUUUGCAGUAAAUGAUGAAUGCCAUAGCUUAGAUUGAUCAAUUAUAGUUUAGGGUUAGUCUAGCAAACUAAUGCCCUAUGAUAUAAUUCAAAAUAUCUGGUCUAUAAAUGAAAGUGUAAGCAUUUCACCUCAAGAGUAAUGUGGCAACGCAGGAACUGAAAUCACUAGACCGUUUCUGACACCAGUAGUGAAGUAUGUUAUUUAAUUCAUUGAUCUGCA
rnacentral:rRNA from 1 species